rnacentral:rRNA from 1 species
UGGGGAAUUUUGGACAAUGGGCGAAAGCCUGAUCCAGCAAUGCCGCGUGUGUGAAGAAGGCCUUCGGGUUGUAAAGCACUUUUGUCCGGAAAGAAAUCCUUGGCUCUAAUACAGUCGGGGGAUGACGGUACCGGAAGAAUAAGCACCGGCUAACUACGUGCCAGCAGCCGCGGUAAUACGUAGGGUGCAAGCGUUAAUCGGAAUUACUGGGCGUAAAGCGUGCGCAGGCGGUUUGCUAAGACCGAUGUGAAAUCCCCGGGCUCAACCUGGGAACUGCAUUGGUGACUGGCAGGCUAGAGUAUGGCAGAGGGGGGUAGAAUUCCACGUGUAGCAGUGAAAUGCGUAGAGAUGUGGAGGAAUACCGAUGGCGAAGGCAGCCCCCUGGGCCAAUACUGACGCUCAUGCACGAAAGCGUGGGGAGCAAACAGGAUUAGAUACCCUGGUAGUCCACGCCCUAAACGAUGUCAACUAGUUGUUGGGGAUUCAUUCCUUAGUAACGUAGCUAACGCGUGAAGUUGACCGCCUGGGGAGUACGGUCGCAAGAUUAAACUC